rnacentral:rRNA from 1 species
GGUACCGUCAAGAUCCACCGGGUAUUAACCGAUGAUUCCUUCUUCCCACCUGACAGGGGUUUACAAUCCGAGAACCUUCAUCCCCCACGCGGCGUCGCUGGGUCAGGGUUUCCCCCAUUGCCCAAAAUUCCCC